AUGCAGUCAUAGCUGCUCAGACUUCCCAGUCAGCAGCUUCUCCUGGUAUCAAGGAAGUCCAGCGUGAAGUCUAGCCUUGAACACUGGGUGCCCUGUCCUCCAGGCCUGUCUCUCCCUACCCCCUGCCCUCCAGCUCCUUCCUUCUCACCCAUGCCCCUCAUCCCAUCUCAGUUCUGCUUUCCAGGAAAAACACUGUUUCUGUUGGAUCUGAAUGGCAACACCAGGGGAAUCCAAGGAUUGUGGACCAAAGCAGGCCAGCUCAGGGCAGGGGAAAGCAAAGUUAGGUCCUGCUUCCCCCGCCUCCCCAGGACCCCAGGACUUGGGAAUUUGCAGAAGGGAACAAAGUGGCUGAGCCCUCUCCUUCCCCUUGCUGGGCCAGCCACUGAUGUUCAACCCACCCACCAACCCUCUACCUGCCCGCCCUGGGGGCUGGAAGGAAGGAGAAGGGGUGAUGGACACAACCUGUCUCUUCUCUGAUGCUGGUCCCCUCUCCACCUCCCUCUGCUUCUCUCUGCUCCCCCAGGUCUGUCUGUCCCUGCUGCCUCUCCGUGGUCUACCCAGUACACAUAAUCCUGUCCUGAGCUGGCUUUGGCAGCUCUCUGGAGAAGUGAGGGGUGGGGGGUGACGAGAACUCCUGGGGCCAGGGCCAGGCCUGGCUCCCUCUCUGGAAAAGUCCACCCCACCCUCCCCUGCAUAGGGGAGCAGAAGCAGACUCCCCCCUCCCUGCACAAACGUAUGCUUGUUGUCCCUUUUCACGCCCAGGGUGAGGGAGGCAGAAGUUGGACGUGGGCACCCUGAAGUCAAGGUGGACCCUGGUCAGGACCAACUUGGGCUGCUCCUGGUCACGCCCCACAUUGGGCCUUUGACGUCAAGGAAAGUGACCUGCACGGGGCUAACCCCUUCACCCUCGGGCUCACCUCGGGCAAGUGAGCCACUGCUGGGGAAAAGAAGCGCUACCUCUCCUAACAGGCUGAGCUGUGUGAAGGGCACUCACCCGCAUCCCUCCCGGACACCCUAGCCCUGCGUUCCCGGAGUGCAGGCGUCGGGUCGCAUCCUCUCGAAGCCCCUCGGGGAGGAAGCGGGCGGCGCCGGCUUGCAGGGAGGUCCCGUAUGUUUUCCAAUUUCACUGUGUGACUUAAUAGGAAUCUUGGCUCAAGUCCUCGCCCGGAUGAUGGGACCAGACCCCCUCCCCAGGAAUUCGCCUCAGGGUCCGCUGUUCUGUGACCAGGAGAGCCCGGGCGGGGGUCGGGGAGACUCUACCUUCUCUGCGCCCGCUCUCUCCAGCUGCCCUUCCACGGCGGCCACCGCGGCUGGGAGCCUGGGGACAGCGCCGCCCGCGGCAGGCUCCGCCCCGCGCCGCCCGCGCCCCGCCCGCCACGCGCCGGCCGCGAUCCCCCACCCCGGGCGCCCCCGACGGCUACGAGCCGUGCAGCCACGCAGCGGGCACCGCUCCAGCGCCCACCCCGGGGCUUGGGACCCCACCGAUCCUGGCAGAGCGGCCUCUGGUGGACCUUGUACCAGAAGAACACGGGCAAAUCGCGGACCGCAGGGGGAUUCACAAACCGGACCCAGUGGCCCUGCGCAAGCUCAGAUCCACCCAAGCCGAGGCCUUCUCCUCCACGCAGCCCAUGCCAUCCCCUCCACUUUUCCCAUGCUGGGCAGUGAACCGUGUGGCUCUGAUGGCCGAGGACGUCUGUGAGCCUCGGUUUCUUCAUCCAUAAAAUUUUACACCCCGGAGCUUAGCAGAAGGAAUGCACGUUGAAUUAUGAGUCAGACAAAUUUGGAUUUGAAUUUCAGCUUGAGCACUUGCCAGCUCUGUGGUCUUUCGUGAGCACUUCAACUUCAAUGCUGCAGUGUCGUCUGUAGAAUGGGAGACUGAUGUGUAGAUUAGGCAGGAAAUGUCUGUCCAUCUCCAUGUGGAAGAAUGACUCAGAAGGAAUGAAGAAGGAAUGAAAAAGGCUUUUACUUUUUGUGCUUUUUGUUCUAUUUUUAUUGUUUGUCUUUUUAUAAAUAUUUAUGUGGCUGUUUAUUUUCGAGGCAGGGUCCUAUUAUGAAGUCCUGGCCGGCCUGGACCUCGCUGUGUAGACCAGGCUGGCCCCCAGUUCACACAGAUCCACCUGCCUUGUAUCUAGAUUAAAGUCGUGCACCACCA